rnacentral:rRNA from 1 species
UGUGCCAGCCGCCGCGGUAAUACAGAGGGUGCGAGCGUUAAUCGGAAUUACUGGGCGUAAAGCGAGUGUAGGUGGCUCAUUAAGUCACAUGUGAAAUGCCCCGGGCUUAACCUGGGAACUGCAUGUGAUACUGGUGGUGCUAGAAUAUGUGAGAGGGAAGUAGAAUUCCAGGUGUAGCGGUGAAAUGCGUAGAGAUCUGGAGGAAUACCGAUGGCGAAGGCAGCUUCCUGGCAUAAUAUUGACACUGAGAUUCGAA